rnacentral:lncRNA from 1 species
AUCCAUUGUGCCACCUACCUGCUCCAAAAUAAAAUAUACAGGGAUAUAAAGGAAAUCAAUUAUAUUGAAAUGAAAUUAUCCAAAUAAUCUUACAUCUAGUCUGAUCUCCUUAUUUUACAGAUGAGGAAACUGAGGACCAAAGUGACUUGUCCAGAGUCACAUGGAGAACAACAGAAUCAUAGCAUUGGAGAGCUCUAAGGGACCUCUUUGGGUAUAUAGUCCAACCCAUACCUAUAAGGAAUCCCCACUAGAAGAUACCUGACAAAAUAUCAUUUAAUCUCUGCUCAGAGAACUCCAAGGAGAAGGUCUCUUCUACUACCCCUUGACACAGCACAUUUUACUUUGGGACAGCUCUGAUUAAUGUUCCUAACAGAUGGGGAAAGGAAGACAUUUGCCUAUCAGGAAAAGAAGGGUGGUAACAAAGCCCCUUAUAUUAUGGUACAAGUUUACUUCUGAUGAAAAAACAUCUAUUUUAAUAGUGUGAUAUAAUAGUAUUGUCUAUUACAUGAGGUGUCCCAAGAGCCCAUGCAGUUUUAAACUUUGAUAGCUUACAGACAAGAAAAACAAAACAGUCCUUGUCUUCAAUGAACUUACCUUCUAAUAGGAGAGUUGAUGUGUCUAAAACUGAUGCCUGGACAGGUGAUUUACUUGCCCAGAGUCACAUAGGGAGCAGAUGCCCGGUUUGAAGUCAGGAAUUCCUAACCCAGAGUUUUUCCACUAUGAGACCCUGCCUUUCAUUUGUUGGGCAGACCCUGAGGUUGGAUAAUAAAAAACCCAGAAUUGAUUUAUAGAAGGAGACU